rnacentral:rRNA from 1 species
UACGGAGGGAGCUAGCGUUAUUCGGAAUUACUGGGCGUAAAGCGCACGUAGGCGGCUUUGUAAGUUAGAGGUGAAAGCCUGGAGCUCAACUCCAGAAUUGCCUUUAAGACUGCAUCGCUUGAAUCCAGGAGAGGUGAGUGGAAUUCCGAGUGUAGAGGUGAAAUUCGUAGAUAUUCGGAAGAACACCAGUGGCGAAGGCGGCUCACUGGACUGGUAUUGACGCUGAGG